rnacentral:rRNA from 1 species
GGUGAACCUGCGGAAGGAUCAUUAUUGAAUUUGAAAGAGGUAUUGUUGCUGGUCUUUCGGGACAUGUGCACGCCUCGCUCAUCUCCAUUCACACCUGUGCACUCUUUGUAGGUUGGUUUUGGACUUGACCUUACGGUCUCGUUUAAGCUUGCCUAUGAUUUUAUACAUACACUCAGUUUAUAGAAUGUCAUUGCGUUAAACGCAUUAUAUACAACUUUCAGCAACGGAUCUCUUGGCUCUCGCAUCGAUGAAGAACGCAGCGAAAUGCGAUAAGUAAUGUGAAUUGCAGAAUUCAGUGAAUCAUCGAAUCUUUGAACGCACCUUGCGCUCCUUGGUAUUCCGAGGAGCAUGCCUGUUUGAGUGUCAUGGAAUUCUCAACCCAUCAGUCUUGUUAUGAGGCUUUGAUGGGCUUGGAUUUGGAGGUUUAUGCUGCAUUUUUAUUAGUGCGGCUCCUCUUGAAUGUAUUAGUAGAACCUGCCGAGCAGUUCUCAGUGUGAUAAUUGUCUACGCUGUGAUUGCGAAAGCAUUAUGGGAUCUGCUUCUAACUGUCUACUUGUUUAGACAAUUUAUUUAACAUCUGACCUCAAAUCAGGUAGGACUACCCGCUGAACUUAAGCAUAUCAAUAAGCGGAGGAAAAGAAACUAACAAGGAUUCCCCUAGUAACUGCGAGUGAAGCGGGAAAAGCUCAAAUUUAAAAUCUGGCAGUCUUUGGCUGUCCGAGUUGUAGUCUGGAGAAGUGCUUUCCGCG